AGGACGAACGCUGGCGGCGUGCUUAACACAUGCAAGUCGAGCGGAAAGGCCCUUCGGGGUACUCGAGCGGCGAACGGGUGAGUAACACGUGAGCAACCUGCCCCUAGCUCUGGGAUAGCUCCGGGAAACCGGGAUUAAUACCAGAUACAACCACUUUAGACAUCUGUUGUGGUGGAAAGGAUUCUGGCUAGGGAUGGGCUCGCGGCCUAUCAGCUUGUUGGUGGGGUAACGGCCUACCAAGGCGACGACGGGUAGCCGGCCUGAGAGGGCGACCGGCCACACUGGGACUGAGACACGGCCCAGACUCCUACGGGAGGCAGCAGUGGGGAAUAUUGCGCAAUGGGCGAAAGCCUGACGCAGCGACGCCGCGUGGGGGAUGAAGGCCUUCGGGUUGUAAACCCCUUUCAGCAGGGACGAGCGAAGUGACGGUACCUGCAGAAGAAGCGCCGGCUAACUACGUGCCAGCAGCCGC
rnacentral:rRNA from 1 species